rnacentral:rRNA from 1 species
UCGGAUCUUUCCCUCCGGGGACAGAGGAGACAGGUGGUGCAUGGUUGUCGUCAGCUCGUGUCGUGAGAUGUUGGGGUUAAGUCCCGCAACGAGCGCAACCCUUGUCUUUAGUUGCCAGCAGGUUAAGCUGGGCACUCUAGAGAGACUGCCGGUGACAAACCGGAGGAAGGUGGGGAUGACGUCAAAUCAUCAUGCCCCUUAUGUACUGGGCUACACACGUGCUACAAUGGCUGGUACAACGGGAAGCGAAGGAGUAAUCUGGAGCGAAUCCCAAAAAGCCAGUCCCAGUUCGGAUUGUGGGCUGCAACUCGCCCACAUGAAGUUGGAGUUACUAGUAAUCGCGGAUCAGAAUGUCGCGGUGAAUGCGUUCCCGGGUCUUGUACACACCGCCCGUCACACCAUGGGAGUUGGGGGCACCCGAAGUCAGCUAUCUAACUUUUUAAGAGGAAGCUGCCGAAGGUAAAU